CCGCGCAUCUCAUUGCGCGUAGCCUACGAGGUAGGAGCGGCGAGGCAACAGACCGUUCGAAGCCCUCGGACAAUGUACCCACGAUUGCAAAAUUGGCUCCAGAACCGCGAGGCGACGGUGUAUCUGCCAGCAUAAGGCGGAGAUGGGG
rfam:Acidobacteria bacterium 13_1_20CM_4_56_7 13_1_20cm_4_scaffold_15531, whole genome shotgun sequence.